rnacentral:rRNA from 1 species
GAUGAACGCUGGCGGCGUGCUUAACACAUGCAAGUCGAGCGAGAUUAUUCUUCGGAAUAGUCUAGCGGCGGACGGGUGAGUAACACGUGGGCAACCUGCCUUGUAGAGGGGGAUAGCCUUCCGAAAGGAAGAUUAAUACCGCAUAACGUUGUUGAAAGGCAUCUUUCGAUAAUCAAAGGAGUAAUCCGCUACAAGAUGGGCCCGCGGCGCAUUAGCUAGUUGGUGAGGUAACAGAUCACCAAGGCGACGAUGCGUAGCCGACCUGAGAGGGUGAUCGGCCACAUUGGGACUGAGACACGGCCCAGACUCCUACGGGAGGCAGCAGUGGGGAAUAUUGCACAAUGGGGGAAGCCCUGAUGCAGCAACGCCGCGUGAGUGAUGACGGCCUUCGGGUUGUAAAGCUCUGUCUUUGGGGACGAUAAUGACGGUACCCAAGGAGGAAGUCACGGCUAACUACGUGCCAGCAGCCGCAGUAA